GAUGAACGCUAGCUACAGGCUUAACACAUGCAAGUCGAGGGGCAGCAUGGUCUUAGCUUGCUAAGGCCGAUGGCGACCGGCGCACGGGUGAGUAACACGUAUCCAACCUGCCGUCUACUCUUGGACAGCCUUCUGAAAGGAAGAUUAAUACAAGAUGGCAUCAUGAGUCCGCAUGUUCACAUGAUUAAGGGUAUUCCGGUAGACGAUGGGGAUGCGUUCCAUUAGAUAGUAGGCGGGGUAACGGCCCACCUAGUCUUCGAUGGAUAGGGGUUCUGAGAGGAAGGUCCCCCACAUUGGAACUGAGACACGGUCCAAACUCCUACGGGAGGCAGCAGUGAGGAAUAUUGGUCAAUGGGCGAGAGCCUGAACCAGCCAAGUAGCGUGAAGGACGACUGCCCUAUGGGUUGUAAACUUCUUUUAUAAAGGAAUAAAGUCGGGUAUGGAUACCCGUUUGCAUGUACUUUAUGAAUAAGGAUCGGCUAACUCCGUG
rnacentral:rRNA from 1 species